GCAUAUAUUUAAAUUUUUAGUAAAAUUUUAGAUUCUUUUCUCUAAAAGAUAAAAAUUAUGACUAAUUUAGUAAAAAAAAAAUAAUUUUAGGCCUUAAUGGCAAUUUGAAGAGCAAAUUAUUAGUUAAUCAAAAGGAAAAUUCGCCAACUAGCAUUUAUAGGCAUGCCGCCCAUGGAAACAAAACAAAAAUGGAAAAGCAACUCUCAGUUGCCUUUUUUUAGUUAUUAGACUCAAUAUGGAAUUCCACCAUCCGAAAGUAAUCCAAGCUAUCCCCAAUAAUAACCUUUCUCCCUCCCAUUUGAUCUUCCAGUCUUGUUUUGUCUUCAUGUAGAUCAUCUCAUCUCUCCUUGAAAAGCCAAAUAUUAGCUCAUUAUCCCUUGUACUUCCAAUAAAGUUUUGUCCUCAUCAAUAUCUUUAAUCAUCCUUAUACUAUUAACUUACAGGAUUAAAGUUACCUUACAGGAUUAAAGUCCUUUUUGGACAUUUCCUAAGCAAAGUCGUUCUCCGGUAUAACCUUAUCUCAAUUCUG
rnacentral:misc_RNA from 1 species